AGAGUUUGAUCCUGGCUCAGGACGAACGCUGGCGGCGUGCCUAAUACAUGCAAGUCGAGCGGACAGAAGGGAGCUUGCUCCCGGAUGUUAGCGGCGGACGGGUGAGUAACACGUGGGUAACCUGCCUGUAAGACUGGGAUAACUCCGGGAAACCGGAGCUAAUACCGGAUAGUUCCUUGAACCGCAUGGUUCAAGGAUGAAAGACGGUUUCGGCUGUCACUUACAGAUGGACCCGCGGCGCAUUAGCUAGUUGGUGGGGUAAUGGCUCACCAAGGCGACGAUGCGUAGCCGACCUGAGAGGGUGAUCGGCCACACUGGGACUGAGACACGGCCCAGACUCCUACGGGAGGCAGCAGUAGGGAAUCUUCCGCAAUGGACGAAAGUCUGACGGAGCAACGCCGCGUGAGUGAUGAAGGUUUUCGGAUCGUAAAGCUCUGUCGUUAGGGAAGAACAAGUGCGAGAGUAACUGCUCGCACCUUGACGGUACCUAACCAGAAAGCCACGGCUAACUACGUGCCAGCAGCCGCGGUAAUACGUAGGUGGCAAGCGUUGUCCGGAAUUAUUGGGCGUAAAGGGCUCGCAGGCGGUUUCUUAAGUCUGAUGUGAAAGCCCACGGCUCAACCGUGGAGGGUCAUUGGAAACUGGGGGACUUGAGUGCAGAAGAGGAAAGUGGAAUUCCACGUGUAGCGGUGAAAUGCGUAGAGAUGUGGAGGAACACCAGUGGCGAAGGCGACUUUCUGGUCUGUAACUGACGCUGAGGCGCGAAAGCGUGGGGAGCAACAGGAUUAGAUACCCUGGUAGUCCACGCCGUAAACGAUGAGUGCUAAGUGUUAGAGGGUUUCCGCCCUUUAGUGCUGCAGCAAACGCAUUUAGCACUCCGCCUGGGGGAAUACGGCCGCAAGGCUGAAACUCAAAGGAAUUGACGG
rnacentral:rRNA from 1 species